GCAUGAAAUUAUUUUACAAAUACUUUUAUUAUAUAGCAGUAUAUGUCAAUGACAUAUAUAUAAUACAUACAAUAAUAUGAUAUUAUAUAUAAAAGUAAAGUUCAGACAGAUAUAAAUUAUAUCUCUCUGAAUUAAUACUUCUCCUUUAUAAAUCGCUCAAUGUAAGACAGUCUGAUCUUUAUUACAGUAUAAUGAUUGAAAUUUUACAACUAUAAAAUAAUUAGUUGAUAGUUGUAUAAUUUCUGUUUAAACUGAAUAAAUUAGUUAUAUAAUUAAUUUACAAAUAUCUGUCUGAAUUUUACCCUCCCCCCGUGUAAAUUACUAAACUUGCCUCUGAAUUAUCUCUUUUUUUCUAGCUAAUCAUUUAAUUAAAGAUAGUGUGGUAAUGGUAUUGAAUGAUGUAAUAAAUAGUGAAACUAUAAACUUUUAGUUAUAUCUUUAAGUUUCAAAAUUAUUACUUCCCCUUAGUAAAUCGUUUAAAGUAAGACGUUGUGAUAAUGGCAUGAAGUGAUAGUAAUAGGAAUUAUGCAACUAUAUAUCAAUAAGUUAUAAAAUCAUGUAAAAAUGAUUACAAGUAUUAUGUCUUAAUCAUCACUUUCCCCUAAGUAAAUCAUGCAAUACAAAAUGUUUGAAACUGGUAUUGAAUGAUAUAAAUUAUUUUUAUAUUUUACUGUAAUUAGAAAUUUCUUAAGCUUUUGAUAUUUAACUUGUUGGACUUUUGUUUUACUAACAUAAACUAUAGAAUAAAAGUAUUAUGUUUACUUUAAUUAGUAAAGUUAUUAGUCCAAUACAUCAAUAUUAUUUUAGCCUGAUUUAAAGAUAUUGUGAUGUUAUAUUGGUAUUUAUUAUUUUUCCAAACUAACGCAUAUCAAUUUUCUGUUAAUUCAACGACAAUGUUCUGCUCUACUUCAUUUUUUAUGUUUAGUUGACUACUGUUGAAAUAUGGUUUUAAUUUAUUAAGUUUUCAUGAAUUGAAAUUUACUUUAUUAAUCAUUAGCCAAAAGUUUAGGUAAUAAAAUUGAAUUCAUCGCCAUUAAGGUAAGAAUAACUUUGUACUUUGGUCACACCAAAAAACAGUUUUUUUUUUUUUUUAUUUUUAUAUAUUGGUAUUUUUCACUAAAACAGUUUUUUAUAAUUAUUAUUAUGUCAUUGCUAUUUUGUGUAACUAAACCUAAAAAUAAUUCAGCUAACAUAACUUUGAAAAUAUAAUAGUUUUUUUUUAUUACAUUUUUGUUUCAGAUAACCUUGUUGAAAAUUUUAAGAGAAGCUUGAACAAAAAAUAAUUAUUCGUAGAAAUUCUUAAAUCACAGAUUUUAUACUUAUUUAUAUAAUAAAAAGAUGAAAUAAAGAUUUUUUUCUGAGGGUUGUAGCAACCUUUUUGAAAUUCGUACUUGAAAAGCAAGUCAAAAAUUAUAAAAAAAAUACUGAGUUAAACUAAAAAGUUUGACACUUUUUCUAAAAUAAUAAAAAUAAACUUUAAUCUGAAAACAGUUUUAUUUUUUUAUUAAAAGUGGUUGGUGUCUACUGCAAAAAGUAAUUUAAAAAAAUUAUUUUUAUUGGAGUCACAAAACUUAGCAUAAGAUAAAAACCAUACUUUGCUAUAGAUUUAUAGUUUUUUUUAAAGUUAGUGCUUGAUUUACUUUACCUUAAUUUGUUGCAUAAUUUUGAUUUAAUAAUUAUUUAAAAUCUCCAAAAGUGAGAAUGUUUAUCAUGGGCUUGGGGUAAUGGUAAGAGUCUAAGACCAAAGUAUUGGAUUGCCAUUGCACUUUUGCUGUUUUUUUUUCUUCUUUUACCAAAGUAUUGGAUUGCCAUUGCACUUUUGCUGUUUUUUUUUCUUCUUUUAUGCAGCAAUAUUUUGAUUUAAAGUGUUUUUUUUUAAUAAAAAGUCUUUUGUUAAAUAAAAGUCUGUCCUUAUAUGGAAUACUGUUGUCAUAUCUGGGGGAAAGGAGGGGUGGAUCUUAAAAUGAUACUCUUUUUUUCAGACAAGGUACAAAAACACAAUGUAAUCAUAGUUGGACAUGGUCUUGCAAGCCUCCAACCAUUAUCACAAGUAAUAUUGCUUCUUUUGCUCAAUUCUACAAAUACUUAUGUUACUCCUCAUUUGAUUAAGUCUUAUCCUUUUCCCGUGACUGUUCCGAAGUGUUCUAAAAACUCUUAUUCAUCUAGUUUUUUUCUUUGAACAUCAUUCUUUGGAAUUCACCUGCUUUAGUUUCUAUUUUGAUUCAUAUAAUUUCCAAUCUUUAAAGUCAUAUGUCAAUCGUUAUCUUUCUUUAUAAACUUCAUCUAAUUCCAGUAACUUCAAACUCUAUUAGUGGUUGAUUGCAGCCUUGUUGGAAGCAAAGAUAUUGAAAAAAAAAAAAAACAGAUGUUAUUAAACAAAUAACCAGCAA
rnacentral:lncRNA from 1 species